UACGUAGGCAGCAAGCGUUGUUCGGAGUUACUGGGCGUAAAGGGUGUGUAGGCGGUGACUUAAGUUUGGUGUGAAAUCUCCCGGCUCAACCGGGAGGGUGCGCCGAAUACUGAGUGACUUGGAGUGCGGGAGAGGAGAGUGGAAUUCCUGGUGUAGCGGUGAAAUGCGUAGAUAUCAGGAGGAACACCGGUGGUGUAGACGGCUCUCUGGACCGUAACUGACGCUGAGGCGCGAAAGCCAGGGGAGCAAACGGG
rnacentral:rRNA from 1 species